GAUGGCUUAAUCAAUAAAGUGCUUGCUUUGCAAGCAUGAGGACCUGGGUUUGAUACCCAGAAAUCA
rnacentral:tRNA from 1 species